rnacentral:rRNA from 1 species
CCCUUAGAUGUUCUGGGCCGCACGCGCGCUACACUGAUACGUUCAACAAGCUCCUUGGCCGAAAGGUCUGGGUAAUCUUUGAAACCGUAUCGUGAUGGGGAUAGAACAUUGCAAUUAUUGUUCUUCAACGAGGAAUGCCUAGUAAGCGCGAGUCAUCAACUCGCGUUGAUUACGUCCCUGCCCUUUGUACACGCCGCCCGUCGCUCCUACCGAUUGAACGUGCUGGUGAAGCGCUCGGACCGCGGCCUCUUGACGGUUCGCUGUCGAUUGGCUGUGGGAAGUUCGUUAAACCUUAUCAUUUAGAGGAAGGAGAAGUCGUAACA